rnacentral:rRNA from 1 species
AUUGAACGCUGGCGGAAUGCUUUACACAUGCAAGUCGAACGGCAGCACGGGUGCUUGCACCUGGUGGCGAGUGGCGAACGGGUGAGUAACAUAUCGGAACGCACCCAGUAAUGGGGGAUAACUAACCGAAAGGUUAGCUAAUACCGCAUACGCCCUGAGGGGGAAAGCGGGGGAUCGAAAGACCUCGCGUUAUUGGAGCGGCCGAUAUCUGAUUAGCUAGUUGGUGAGGUAAAGGCUCACCAAGACGACGAUCAGUAGCAGGUCUGAGAGGAUGACCUGCCACACUGGAACUGAGACACGGUCCAGACUCCUACGGGAGGCAGCAGUGGGGAAUUUUGGACAAUGGGGGAAACCCUGAUCCAGCCAUUCCGCGUGAGUGAAGAAGGCCUUCGGGUUGUAAAGCUCUUUCGGCAGGGAAGAAACGGUUCUGGAUAAUACCCGGAGCUAAUGACGGUACCUGAAGAAGAAGCACCGGCUAACUACGUGCCAGCCGCCGCCGUAA